rnacentral:lncRNA from 1 species
UAAGGAAUUGAUCAAUGCAAAGUUGUGUUGUUUCAGUUAGACCCUGUUUGUUUCCUUGUAUCAAAAGGGAAUUCAUCAAUUCCCUUUUGAUUUCAUUUUAAAAUUCGAGAUGAAAUCAGAUGGAAAUUCUUAUCCUAAAAUAUUUAAAGAACAAAGGUUUCCCACAUACUUGUUGGAAGGGCCAUGGUCGCAAGGAAGGAAUGAUGCCGGUCUCAUAGUUGGAAAGAACACUUGUUGCCAGGUGCCAUUUGAGAAGGAUGCUUGCCAUCGAAGGCUGGUUGGGAAGGACGCUCCCGAUUGGAUAGAUGCCUUAUGGUGAGGUGGGUCUGUGGGAAAGAAAAUGGUAGCCACUCACUCGAAGAGAUGAACACUCUUGAUUCUCAAGCCUCAAAAUCUUUGAAGACUAGUCCAAACUCCAAGGGGCAAUAGGAUAAGAAAGGAUAUGCAUGCAGAUGCGGAUCGGCCUAGAUUCAAGACUCAGGAUAUAUAUAUGACUUGAAUUAUAUGGAUAUUCUGAUCUGAAUUUGAAAAAAAUGAGAGAGACCUAUCUGACUAUUUUUUUGGCUUAGUAUCUAGAUUCAUCUUCAAAUCCGAUUGGGCUCAAUAACAUAUAUCCAAAUCCAACCCAAAUUAGAUGCGGACAAGGAUAUAGUCGGAUUGUAUAUAUCCGAUCCAC